rnacentral:rRNA from 1 species
UACACUCCUACGGGAGGCAGCAGUGGGGAAUAUUGGACAAUGGGCGCAAGCCUGAUCCAGCCAUGCCGCGUGAGUGAUGAAGGCCCUAGGGUUGUAAAGCUCUUUCACCGGUGAAGAUAAUGACGGUAACCGGAGAAGAAGCCCCGGCUAACUUCGUGCCAGCAGCCGCGGUAAUACGAAGGGGGCUAGCGUUGUUCGGAUUUACUGGGCGUAAAGCGCACGUAGGCGGACUAUUAAGUCAGGGGUGAAAUCCCGGGGCUCAACCCCGGAACUGCCUUUGAUACUGGUAGUCUUGAGUUCGAGAGAGGUGAGUGGAAUUCCGAGUGUAGAGGUGAAAUUCGUAGAUAUUCGGAGGAACACCAGUGGCGAAGGCGGCUCACUGGCUCGAUACUGACGCUGAGGUGCGAAAGCGUGGUGAGCAAACAGGAUUAGAAACCCCAGUAGUCCCAUGA